UAUGGCCAUAUCAUGUUCCAACAGUUGUUCCCAUACAAUCACUGAAGUUAAACAACAUCGAACUUGGUCAGUACCUAGAUGGGUGACUGCUUGGGAAUACCAGGUGCUGUAAG